UCUCUCGUAGUACAAUGGUUAGUACCGCCGCUUCGUCACGCGAUAUUGUGCUCUGGGUGCAUAUGUCGGAGAUUGGGCAGGGUCUGGGUUCGAAUCCCAGCGAGAGGC